rnacentral:rRNA from 1 species
GACGAACGCUGGCGGCGUGCCUAAUACAUGCAAGUCGAACGAAAGCGACAGGUGCUUGCACUGGUCAAUCUAGCGGCGAACGGGUGAGUAACACGUGGGUAACCUGCCUAUCAGAGGGGGAUAACAUCCGGAAACGGAUGCUAAAACCGGAUAAGUUUUCGAACCGCAUGGUUUGAUGAUGAAAAGCGGCGCUGGUGUCUGCUGUUGGUUGGUCCCGCGGUGCAUUAGUUAGUUGGUGAGGUAACGGUUUACCAAGGCAGUGAUGCAUAGCCGACAUGGGAGGGUGAUCGGCCACAUUGGAACUGAGACACGGUCCAGACUCCUACGGGAGGCAGCAGUAGGGAAUCUUCCGCAAUGGACGCAAGUCUGACGGAGCAACGCCGCGUGAGUGAAGAAGGUUUUCGGAUCGUAAAACUCUGUUGUUAGAGAAGAACAAGUGCGAGAGUAACUAUUAACGCCUUGACGGUAUCUAACCAGAAAGCCACGGCUAACUACGUG